rnacentral:rRNA from 1 species
ACGGUACCAGCAUAAGAAGCACCGGCUAACUACGUGCCAGCAGCCGCGGUAAUACGUAGGGUGCGAGCGUUAAUCGGAAUUACUGGGCGUAAAGCGUGCGCAGGCGGUUUCGUAAGACAGAGGUGAAAUCCCCGGGCUCAACCUGGGAACUGCCUUUGUGACUGCGAGGCUAGAGUAUGGCAGAGGGGGGUGGAAUUCCACGUGUAGCAGUGAAAUGCGUAGAGAUGUGGAGGAACACCGAUGGCGAAGGCAGCCCCCUGGGCCAAUACUGACGCUCAUGCACGAAAGCGUGGGGAGCAAACAGGAUUAGAUACCCUGGUAGUCCACGCCCUAAACGAUGUCAACUAGGUGUUGGGAGGGUUAAACCUUUUAGUACCGUAGCUAACGCGUGAAGUUGACCGCCUGGGGAGUACGGCCGCAAGGUUAAAACUCAAAGGAAUUGACGGGGACCCGCACAAGCGGUGGAUGAUGUGGAUUAAUUCGAUGCAACGCGAAAAACCUUACCUACCCUUGACAUGCCACGAACUUGCCAGAGAUGGCUUGGUGCCCGAAAG